rnacentral:tRNA from 1 species
CGCCCCUGUCGUCUAGAGGCCCAGGACACCGCCCUUUCACGGCAGCAACACGGGUUCGAAUCCCGUCGGGGGCGU